rnacentral:rRNA from 1 species
UCAAACUUUCAGCUAGAGUAUGAUAGAGAAAGCAGAAUUCUAGUGUAGAGGUGAAAUUCGUAGAUAUUAGAAAGAAUACCAAUUGCGAAGGCAGCUUUCUGGAUCAUUACUGACACUGAGGAACGAAAGCAUGGGUAGCGAAGAGGAUUAGAUACCCUCGUAGUCCAUGCCGUAAACGAUGUGUGUUAGACGUUGGAAAUUUAUUUUCAGUGUCGCAGUGAAAGCGAUAAACACACCGCCUGGGGAGUACGACCGCAAGGUUAAAACUCAAAUGAAUUGACGGGGACCCGCACAAGUAGUGGAGCAUGUGGUUUAAUUCGAAGAUACGCGCAGAACCUUACCAACACUUGACAUGUUCGUCGCGACUUUAAGAGAUUAAAGUUUUCGGUUCGGCCGGACGAAACACAGGUGCUGCAUGGCUGUCGUCAGCUCGUGUCGUGAGAUGUUGGGUUAAGUCCCGCAACGAGCGCAACCCUCACUUUUAGUUGCCAUCAUUUAGUUGGGCACUCUGAAAGAACUGCCAGUGAUAAGCUGGAGGAAGGUGGGGAUGACGUCAAGUCCUCAUGGCCCUUACGUGUUGGGCUACACACGUGCUACAAUGGUAUAUACAACAGGAAGCAAGACGGCGACGUUAAGCAAAUCCUCAAAAGAUACCUCAGUUCGGAUUGCACUCUGCAACUCGGGUGCAUGAAGCUGGAAUUACUAGUAAUCGUGGAUCAGUAUGCCACGGUGAAUGCGUUCCCGGGUCUUGUACACACCGCCCGUCACACCAUGGGAGUUGGUUCUACCUUAAGGCAAGGUUUUAAACCCUUGACCACGGUAUAGUCAGCGACUGGGGUGAAAUCGUAACAAGGUAACCGUA